UGUCACAUGUCACAGAAGACUUUCCCCAUAGAAGGGGGGGAAAAAACCCCAAACGUAAAUAAGCUGAGCAGCGACGUCACCGCCGGUGUCUGUCUCCAGUUUCGGCUUUGUGGCUGUUCUGGUUUUGUGACCUCGGUGGAGAUCCGGCAGGAGGAGACAGACCCGUAAAAACAAGGUUAAAGCCGAGCCACAGUGAGGCGGCCACAGGAUGACCCGCUAGACUUUGGAACCUGUUUAUGAUUACGUUGGAAAUUAAAGCAAGCCUCCGCCGCGCCCCCUCCGAGGAGCGCGUUUAAAACCCCGAGUCAAAAAGAAGCUUGAGUGGUUUUUCCAAAAUGAACCAACUGGAGGAAGAGUCACAGUAAGCAGGCAGGAAUCUUCAAAUGACCCUCCCCCUUCCCUAAAUCCUGUGGUUUGCAGAGUGCUCCCUAAGAGAGCACACGCGGGCAUCAGCGCAGGAGGCGGUUGCACGACAGUGUCCAGGGAGAACCCAACGGCUGGCAAGCCCCUCUGCAAACCGCCCGGGAGUAGCGCUUUCCGGGACCCGGCAGGGGAUGACUCAGCUGCUGCGCCCCGGUGCGGGACUCAUGUGGUGCGGGAGGGGGCCGCGGAGGGCCUGGCCGCCGGUUGGAGGGCCGCCUCGCUCUGGGUUUUUGGUGUUUGUGGCUGGGAUUGGUGGCUCACAUCCGCCGGGGACUCGGGAGAGGAGGGAGGACAGACUCCGGGAGGAGGAGCUGGACCGAGUGAGUGGCAGGAGCUGGGUCCGGACCCAGCCGUGACUGCCUUGUCAUUUUGUUUGCUAACUUAGACAGCGGCUUCAGGGUCCACCCCACGGAACACGCCUCGGGUCCGCUAAGCCCAACCCACGGCGGCUCGAGGCCAGAGCGUUCUUUCCCGGCGGUUAUCCGCGGCCACGCGGUGGCUCUCAUUAUGUACACAAAGGUAGCUUUUCUUUUCUCCCAAGUCAGCCUGGCUAAUGAAUGCGAUUCUCCGGCCGCACUGAUGGAAACCGGGUUUACAAGGGUGGAUGUGGAGAACACUUCCUUAUGGAGAUGACUGGAGGAGACCGAAGGGGCAAACUGGUCCGUCAGGGAAACUGCCUUCUUUAACAUUAGAGUUAAAAGGAGUGACUCUAGUCUGGUUUGGUCUGGAGGGCCUGGUUAUCUGUGAAGGUGAGGACUCCGGCCUGGAGAACUAAUUACUCUGAACCCUCAGGCUCUGAGGACUUCUUCGGAAUACCCCAGGAGGCAAAGAUCAACAAGACCACACCUCUACCUGGACUCUAAGUACACCCAUCUCCUGUCCCAUCCUGACUCCACCUCUUUCUUCCUCUAUUUAAACCUGAAGCCCAAGCCAGUGCCUUAAAGCAAGUGGGUGACAUGAAAUUCGCCCCUUCCCUCUGAUUUCCACCGUUCCUUGCUGACAGGCCAUGGUGGAGGGGACAUUGGCUGAGCCCAGUUUGUUGGGGCUGCAGGACCCCAAGUACUGUUACCCUAAAACUCUGGGAACAGUAUGUUGGGUCCUAGUACAGGAAGGAGGUCAUUCCAAACAAUGAGCGGCCAUACUUGUUUAAGAGUAGGCAUUAAGACCAGAGGUAGAGUCAAACCUGGAAGCCCUUGGCAAGCUAGGCUCAGCUGUCUUUCCUCAGCCAAAAGACAAAACAGCAGCAAGAGAGGGAAUUAUUUUAUUUGAUGAUGUUAGGUUGGGAAGAAAACAAAGAGGCACAGUAAGCACCCCUCUUACUCAAGCUCAUUUUUGGGGUCCUGACAUAAGGUUCAGGCUGAAACAGAGGGUAAGAAGUGUGUAUUGCUUAACAGCACAGGUCAAGGGUGGUCCUGCCCAUCACUAACAAUCACUGUCUUCUGCUUCCAAGGUCUGUUCAAGGUGUCCCUAUGACUGACUGAAGUCUCAUGUCAUGAAGAUGACACCUUCUCAUGAAGGUGUCAGUCCCAUGGCUGACACCCAGGCACUACUAGCUCAUGACAUCUAGCCUUGAGCCUCCUGGGCAAACUCCAGUUCCCUGGGGUCCAUUAUCUCAGCAGAUCACAGAGGGAGGGGCACGAGUCUCCCUUCAGAACAUCCUAUGGUGGAUAAAAUUGCAGUUUAUUGGUGAUCAACCUAGCCUCCAACCCCUCCUUCAGGAUUGAGGAAGUUUAACCGAAACCUUCAUUGCUCCAAAUUGUGCCCCAGUUGGCUCCGGGCAGAUGCCCAUCCAAUGGAGGCUAUCUGGGAGUUCCCAAUCAGCAUUGAAGGACAGACAUUCAUCCAAUCAUUAGCAUGAAAAAAAAUGCUUAUCCUUUGGAGAGUUCAAGGUUUUUGUUUGUUUGGUUUGUUUUUGUAGUUGUACGUCGGGAAAUGAAGGCCAAACAUUCAUUUGACAAUGUCACUGAAGAGAAAUCUGGCUCACAGAUGUAGAAAUAAGAAUAACACCCCCUCCCCCUUACUGUUGAUCCUAUUUCCCGACUCAGAUUCUUUUAAGGCCUGGGCUUCCAGUCUCCAUGCAGUAAAGAUUUACUGCAUUGUUAUGCACUGCUGAUAUUACAACUACUUAGGAUAAAAUGAAUGGGGAGUGGGUGUGGCGCAAAGGCUUAGCUGUUAACAGACCUAGUUACCCUUAGGCAGGAUUCACAACUCCCUGCAAUUUCAGCAGCAGGGGACUUGGACGCCCUCUUCUGGCCUCCAUUGGCACUAUGUGCGCGUGUAUGUAUA